UAGGGAAUCUUGCGCAAUGGGCGAAAGCCUGACGCAGCGACGCCGCGUGCGGGAAGAAGGCCUUCGGGUUGUAAACCGCUUUCAGGAGGGACGAAGCCACUCGGGUUAAUAGCCCAGAGGGUGACGGUACCUCCAGAAGAAGCCCCGGCUAACUACGUGCCAGCAGCCGCGGUAAUACGUAGGGGGCAAGCGUUGUCCGGAUUUAUUGGGCGUAAAGAGCGUGUAGGCGGCUGGGGUAGGGUCCGCUGUGAAAACUCGAGGCUUAACCUCGAGACGUCGGUGGAAACCCUCCAGCUAGAGUCCGGAAGAGGAGAGUGGAAUUCCUGGUGUAGCGGUGAAAUGCGCAGAUAUCAGGAAGAACACCCGUGGCGAAAGCGGCUCUCUGGGACGGUACUGACGCUGAGACGCGAAAGCGUGGGGAGCGAACAGGAUUAGAUACCCUGGUAGUCCACGCCGUAAACGAUGGGUGCUAGGUGUGGGUGGUGUCGACUCCAUCCGUGCCGCAGCUAACGCAUUAAGCACCCCGCCUGGGGA
rnacentral:rRNA from 1 species